CCUACGGGUGGCAGCAGUGGGGAAUAUUGCACAAUGGGGGGAACCCUGAUGCAGCAACGCCGCGUGGGUGAAGAAGUACUCCGGUAUGUAAAGCCCUGUCAGCAGGGAAGAAAAUGACGGUACCUGACCAAGAAGCCCCGGGUAACUACGUGCCAGCAGCCGCGGUAAGACGUAGGGGGCAAGCGUUAUCCGGAUUUAAUGGGUGUAAAGGGGGCGGAGACGGGAAGUCAAGUCUGGAGUGAAAGCCCGGGGCCCAAACACGGGUCUGCUUUGGAAACUGGGUUGCGGGAGUGCAGGAGGGGUACGCGGAAUGCGUAGUGUAGCGGUGAAAUGCGUAGAUAUUAGGAGGAACACCGGUGGCGAAGGCGGCUUACUGGACUGUAACUGACGUUGAGGCUCGAAGGCGUGGGGAGCAAACAGGAUUAGAUACCCGUGUAGUC
rnacentral:rRNA from 1 species